rnacentral:rRNA from 1 species
GAUGAACGCUAGCUACAGGCUUAACACAUGCAAGUCGAGGGGUAACGAGAGGAAAGCUUGCUUUCCUUGUCGACGACCGGCGCACGGGUGAGUAACGCGUUUCCAACCUGCCCCCAACUAAGGAAUAACCUUGCGAAAGUAAGACUAAUACCUUAUAAUUUCCUCAGAUGUCAUCUGACGAGGAAUAAAGAUUUAUCGGUUGUGGAUGGGGAUGCGUCUGAUUAGCUUGUUGGCGGGGUAACGGCCCACCAAGGCAACGAUCAGUAGGGGUUCUGAGAGGAAGGUCCCCCACGUUGGAACUGAGACACGGUCCAAACUCCUACGGGAGGCAGCAGUGAGGAAUAUUGGUCAAUGGGCGAAAGCCUGAAUCAGCCAAGUAGCGUGCAGGAUGACGGCCCUAUGGGUUGUAAACUGCUUUUAUACAGGAAUAAAGUUAGCCACGUGUGGUUAUUUGUAGGUACUGUAUGAAUAAGGACCGGCUAAUUCCGUGCCAGCAGCCGCAGUAA